UACGUAGGUGGCAAGCGUUGUCCGGAAUUAUUGGGCGUAAAGCGCGCGCAGGUGGUUUCCUUAAGUCUGAUGUGAAAGCCCACGGCUCAACCGUGGAGGGUCAUUGGAAACUGGGGAACUUGAGUGCAGAAGAGGAAAGUGGAAUUCCAAGUGUAGCGGUGAAAUGCGUAGAGAUUUGGAAGGAACACCAGUGGCGAAGGCGACUUUCUGGUCUGUAACUACACUGAGGCGCGAAAGCGUGGGGAGCAAACAGG
rnacentral:rRNA from 1 species